UUCAAUGUGCUUGAAUGUAGGUACUACCAACAUUACGUGGGUCUACGAGUAAGUAGGUAUAAAAUUAGCUUAGAGAUACGAAAUUGAAGUACCUACUUAUUCAUUUUGUGUAGGUCUAGGUACAUAGUAAGUACAUACAUAAAUACUUCAUUUUGCUCGUAUACGCUUGUGUAUCUCAUUGUAACAAUUGAUGCUUAUAAAGGAUGAUAUAACAUUGGACCAGCUAAUUUUUGACAUCUGUUUUCUUUCAGUCUAGUAGUUCAAAAAAAAUUGUGAAAAUGAAAUUAAUUUUUUUAAAUCUACUCUGUGCUUUAACACUUCAACCACAAUUUAGCCAAGGUGCUAAAAUAUUAGGCAUAUUUACUGUCAGCGGUCUAAGUCAUUUUAAAUUCGAUAAUGCUGUGAUGAAAAGCUUAAUAGAAGUCGGACAUGAAGUCACUAUUAUCACUCCAUUUCCCAAACAAGCUGCUGCCGAAAAUUAUACAGCAAUAAUUGAUGUUUCUCCGAAAGAAAAAACUUUCAUAGGAAACUCCACUCCACAAGAAUGGGUUUACCAAAACAUUAUGCCAAUAAUGGAUAUGAUGAUUGAAAGUGAUGCGCAAUAUUGCAACAAAAUUAUAAAUUUACCAGAAAUUCGAAAAAUUUUAAAAUCCAAUAAGAAGUUAUACGAUGUGUUAUUCGUGGAAAUUGGUUUUCUGUACAAAUGUUUUUUACCAAUUGCUGAAAAAAUGAAAAUCCCAGUCAUCGGAACAAUAGCCGUAAGAACUUGGCUAUAUGCUGAUUACGCGAUGAAUAAUCCUAAUCAUCCCGCAUACAUUCCUGAGGAAAUGACAGUUCAAAACUGGAAAUUAAAUCACGUUUUUGGACGAAUCAUAAAUGUAUGGAAUCACAUCGUAGUAGCAUGGUAUAAGAAUUUCGUUGUGCCAUCAUUGAUAGAGAAAUUUCAUCAAAAACAUGGAACCUGAUUUGAUUUUUUAUAAUAAUCACGAAUCCAUUUUACCCAAACCAUCGAACCCAAAUGUCAUCAAUAUCGCAGGAAUACAUGUCACAGAGACUAAACCUUUGCCAAAGAAAAUUCAAAAAUUUAUAGAUGAAGCUAAACAUGGAGUGAUUUUAUUCACAUUUGGUUCAUAUGUUAAAGCAGCCACUAUGAGUUCAGAAAUGAAAAACGCUUUCAGAGAUGCUUUCGCUGAAAUACCACAAAGAGUGAUAUGGAAAUUUGAAGAGGAAUUCGAUAAUAAGCCCAAGAAUGUAAUGCUGCUUGAUUGGUUACCGCAGCGUGAUAUCUUGA